rnacentral:rRNA from 1 species
UACGUAGGGUGCAAGCGUUAAUCGGAAUUACUGGGCGUAAAGCGUGCGCAGGCGGUUUUGUAAGUCUGACGUGAAAUCCCCCGGGCUCAACCUGGGAAUUGCGUUUGGAGACUGCAAGGCUAGAAUCUGGCAGAGGGGGGUAGAAUUCCACGUGUAGCAGUGAAAUGCGUAGAGAUGUGGAGGAACACCGAUGGCGAAGGCAGCCCCCCUGGGU